GCGCUCACUUUGGCAGCACAUACACUAACAUCGGAACAAUACAGAAAAGAUUGGCAUGACCCCUGCACAGGGCUGACGUGCAAAUUCGUGAAGCAUGCCAUAUAUUU
ensembl:snRNA U6 U6 spliceosomal RNA